rnacentral:rRNA from 1 species
AUUGAACGCUGGCGGCAUGCCUUACACAUGCAAGUCGAACGGCAGCACGGGAGCAAUCCUGGUGGCGAGUGGCGAACGGGUGAGUAAAGUAUCGGAACGUGCCCAGUCGUGGGGGAUAACGUAGCGAAAGUUACGCUAAUACCGCAUACGAUCUAUGGAUGAAAGCGGGGGAUCGCAAGACCUCGCGCGAUUGGAGCGGCCGAUAUCAGAUUAGGUAGUGGGUGGGGUAAAGGCUCACCAAGCCGACGAUCUGUAGCUGGUCUGAGAGGACGACCAGCCACACUGGGACUGAGACACGGCCCAGACUCCUACGGGAGGCAGCAGUGGGGAAUUUUGGACAAUGGGCGCAAGCCUGAUCCAGCCAUGCCGCGUGCAGGAUGAAGGCCUUCGGGUUGUAAACUGCUUUUGUACGGAACGAAAAGGUUUGGCUUAAUACGUUGAACUCAUGACGGUACCGUAAGAAUAAGCACCGGUUAACUACGUGCCAGCCGCCGCCGUAA